AUUGAACGCUGGCGGCAUGCUUUACACAUGCAAGUCGAACGGUAACAGGCCUUCGGGUGCUGACGAGUGGCGAACGGGUGAGUAAUGCAUCGGAACGUACCCAGAGGUGGGGGAUAACGCAGCGAAAGCUGUGCUAAUACCGCAUGUGAUCUGAGGAUGAAAGCGGGGGACCGAGCAGCAAUGUUUGGCCUCGCGCCUUUGGAGCGGCCGAUGUCGGAUUAGCUGGUUGGUGGGGUAAUGGCCUACCAAGGCGACGAUGCGUAGCUGGUCGGAGAGGACGGCCGGCCGCACUGGGACUGAGCCACCGCCCAGACUCCUACGGGAGGCAGCAGUGGGGAAUUUUGGACAAUGGGCGCAAGCAUGAUACAGCAAUGCCGCGUGCGGGAAGAAGGCCUUCGGGUUGUAAACCGCUUUUGGCAGGAACGAAACGGUGUCCGCUAAUACCGGGCGCUAAUGACGGUACCUGCAGAAUAAGCACCGGCUAACUACGUG
rnacentral:rRNA from 1 species